GUAAUGACGCAUGCUAUACAUGCAGUCGAGCGGACCGAAGGGAGCUUGCUCCUUUAGGUUAGCGGCGGACGGGUGAGUAACACGUGGGCAACCUGCCCUGCAGACUGGGAUAACUUCGGGAAACCGGAGCUAAUACCGGAUAACACCGAAAACCGCAUGGUUUUCGGUUGAAAGGCGGCUUUUAGCUGUCACUGCAGGAUGGGCCCGCGGCGCAUUAGCUAGUUGGUGAGGUAACGGCUCACCAAGGCGACGAUGCGUAGCCGACCUGAGAGGGUGACCGGCCACACUGGGACUGAGACACGGCCCAAACUCCUACGGGAGGCAGCAGUAGGGAAUCUUCCGCAAUGGACGAAAGUCUGACGGAGCAACGCCGCGUGAGCGAAGAAGGUCUUCGGAUCGUAAAGCUCUGUUGUCAGGGAAGAACAAGUAUCGUUCGAACAGGGCGGUACCUUGACGGUACGUGACGAGGAAGCCACGGCUAACUACGUGCCAGCAGCCGCGGUAAUACGUAGGUGGCAAGCGUUGUCCGGAAUUAUUGGGCGUAAAGCGCGCGCAGGCGGUUCUUUAAGUCUGAGGUGAAAUCUCGCGGCCUCAACCGGC
rnacentral:rRNA from 1 species